rnacentral:rRNA from 1 species
ACGAACGCUGGCGGCAUGCCUAACACAUGCAAGUCGAACGAGACCUUCGGGUCUAGUGGCGCACGGGUGCGUAACGCGUGGGAACCUGCCCUUAGGUUCGGAAUAACUCCCCGAAAGGGGUGCUAAUACCGGAUAAUGUCUUCGGACCAAAGAUUUAUCGCCUUUGGAUGGGCCCGCGUUGGAUUAGCUAGUUGGUAGGGUAAAAGCCUACCAAGGCGACGAUCCAUAGCUGGUCUGAGAGGAUGAUCAGCCACACUGGGACUGAGACACGGCCCAGACACCUACGGGAGGCAGCAGUGGGGAAUAUUGGACAAUGGGCGAAAGCCUGAUCCAGCAAUGCCGCGUGAGUGAUGAAGGCCUUAGGGUUGUAAAGCUCUUUUACCCGGGAUGAUAAUGACAGUACCGGGAGAAUAAGCUCCGGCUAACUCCGUG